rnacentral:rRNA from 1 species
GACGAACCGUGCGAACGUUGUUCGGAUUCACUGGGCUUAAAGGGCGCGUAGGCGGUCAAUCAAGUCCGGGGUGAAAUCUUUCGGCUUAACCGGAAAAGUGCCUCGGAUACUGAUUGGCUGGAGGGAGGUAGGGGCAGCUGGAACUUCCAGUGGAGCGGUGAAAUGCGUUGAUAUUGGAAGGAACGCCGGUGGCGAAAGCGAGCUGCUGGACCUCUUCUGACGCUGAGGCGCGAAAGCUAGGGGAGCAAACGGG